rnacentral:lncRNA from 1 species
GCUGGGAUUGGGUUUGCCAUUAAAAAGAUGCAAGGGCUCUGUUCCAAUGCAGCAGGAGCAGCUUACAAGGUGAGUAGUGAAACUCUGCUUGUGACAACUGAUGAUGCUCUGUUCCAAGCCUACCUUUGAUCAUCUUAAGUUGCAUGGCUCUAUUUCAUUAUUUCAGUGGAACACGGGACAGGUCCAGCAUUAAGAAUUGAGGGCACUAAUAUAUACACAUCGUAAUAUCUUAUCACGCACACCAACGCGGAUGACGAUAAAACUACAUGCAGCUGGCGAUUACAGUGGUUAACAACUCGAUUCAUUUGUUCAAAC